GUAUAAGUAUUACAUGAUACCUGGAUUGGUUGUGCAAGCACUUGCUGAAAAAAAAAGAAACAAGGUUUGGCAUGAAUUUUACCUGAGUGGCACCUUGUGCAGAUAUAUUAGUGAAAUAUGUUAGAAUGAAGAACAGAUGCAUUGUACAGUAUUUGCGAGGGAAAAAAAUCAGACAGGGCUAGACCAAUUCUAGUCGGUGUGCUUCCAUUGCAGAAGAAUAGUAGAAUGCGGGAAACAGCAGUCUUUAAUCUUUAAAUAAAUUAAUUGCCACUAGUGAGCUAAUCCGGCAAUGGGGCGGCCAGCGGUGGCUGGCCCAGAGAACAAUGACAGGCAAUGGUAACAUAAUAAAACGGGUAGAUAAUUAAUAUAACAAACAAAUAAAUAUGGUAAACGACUGCAAGACGUCACGACGACAUGUAAAACGGAGGACAACAUGACCCAUUACCGGAUUAGUUCACUAGGUAAGGCCGCUACAAAGUUAUUUGCUGACGGAAUUUGAGGAAAGACUAACUGCGGUAGAGAGUUCCAUACAGGAAUUGUACGAGGGUAGAAGGAGAAUUGGAAAGCAUUAAUUUUGGCUGGGAGCAGGGAGAACUGGUAAUUAUUAAGGACGCUGGCUCUAGUACUGUAUGAUAUAGACUUAGGUAGGACGUCAGAUGGAAAAGAGAUUUUGACGAGUCCGAAGUUGACCUUGUAAAAAAAGGAAAGGUCUUGCACAGUUCUACGAUGUUUAAGAGACUGCCAACCUAGGUUACUUAGCAUAUCUGUUACACUACUUGAUCUUUGGUAGUCCCCCGUCACAAAGCGGGCUGCUCUACGUUGGGUAGAUUCAACAGCAUUGAUAUCUUUCUUAGUGUGCGGGGACCAAGACACCGAUCCGUACUCGAGGAUUGGCCGAACGAGUGACGUGUAGGCUCGUUCUUUGAUCGGGGCGGGACACGAUGAAAGGUUCCUCUGUAGGAUACACAACACUCUGUUAGCUUUCUUUUUAACUUCCUCUGCUUGUUUGUCCCAACGUAGGCUCGAUGUUAUGUAGACGCCUAGGUACUUCUGAAAGGUGACACUUUCAAGGAUAGAGCCACACAGGGAAUACACUCCCGGUGAUGGAUAACGCUUCAGAGUUAUUGACAACAGAUAACACUGAGUAUAACACUGAGAACCGGCGGGAAACCUUGACUCCGUGAAAUCCUGAAUUUCUAUAGGCAUCGAUCUUGAGCAUUGAUAUAACCCUUUAUUUAUAUCAGCGCCGUACGAUUCACUGCAACACAUAAUAUAAUGGAACGCUAUAUUUUGCAUUUCGAUUAUACGCUCUAAGAGCGUUUAGUUUGUAAAAGUGAUUUUCAUCGGUUUUCAUUAAUAGUCAUAUGAAAUGUUAUAUAUCGAAAAGAAAAAUAAAAGCGUGAAAAAUAAACGGUAAAUGAGCACUGUU